CUGGCUCAGGAUGAACGCUGGCGGCGUGCCUAAUACAUGCAAGUCGAACGAGAGAGCUUGCUCUCUAGUGGCGAACGGGUGAGUAACACGUAGGUAACCUGCCUUACAGUUUGGGAUACCCUGGCGAAAGCUAGGCUAAUACCGAAUAAUUGGAUUGGAGGCAUCUCCGAUCUCUAAAAGGGGCCUUUAAAGCCUCGCUGAAUGAUGGACCUGCGGCGCAUUAGCUAGUUGGUGAGAUAACAGCCCACCAAGGCGAGGAUGCGUAGCCGACCUGAGAGGGUGAACGGCCACACUGGAACUGAGACACGGUCCAGACUCCUACGGGAGGCAGCAGUAGGGAGUUUUCGGCAAUGGGGGCAACCCUGACCGAGCAACGCCGCGUGAAUGAUGAAGGUCUUCGGAUUGUAAAGUUCUGUUAUAAGGGAAAAAUGAUAUGUUGAGGAAAUGCUCCAUAUUUGAUGGUACCUUAUUAGAAAGCCACGGCUAACUACGUGCCAGCCGCUGC
rnacentral:rRNA from 1 species